CAUGCACUGGUGGUGUCCCUUUGCCUGGCCUGCGCCCUCUCACAAUCCAGGACCCCUUGGGGGAUGUUGGACUGCCAGUUUUGGCCCAAUCCCCGCAGGCCAGGCCAAGGGACACCACCAGUGCACG
rnacentral:pre_miRNA from 1 species